rnacentral:snRNA from 1 species
AUGCUAUCUCUGGCAGCACAUAUACUAAUAUUGGAACGAUACAGAGAAGAUUAGCAUGGCCCCUGCACCCAAAUUUGUGAAGGGUUCCAUAUUUUU